UACUACCGAAGCUACGGCAUCAGUAAUGAUGGGUAGGGGAGCUUCCCAUACGGGUUGAAGCAUGACCGUAAGGACAUGUGGACAGUAUGGGAGUGAGAAUGUUGGCAUGAGUAGCGAGAUGUGGGUGGGAAUCCCACAGGCCGUAAACCCAAGGUUGCCAGGGGAAGGUUCGUCCGCCCUGGGUUAGUCGGGACCUAAGCUGAGGCCGAAAGGCGUAGGUGAUGGACAACAGGUUGAUAUUCCUGUACUACCGAUAACC
rnacentral:rRNA from 1 species